AGAGUUUGAUCCUGGCUCAGGACGAACGCUGGCGGCGCGCCUAACACAUGCAAGUCGAACGGAGAUACCUGUUAGAUCCCUUCGGGGUGACGAUGGACUAUCUUAGUGGCGGACGGGUGAGUAACACGUGAGCAACCUGCCUUACAGAGUGGGAUAACGUUUGGAAACGAACGCUAAUACCGCAUAACAUUAACUUAUCGCAUGGUAAGAUAAUCAAAGAAAUUCGCUGUAAGAUGGGCUCGCGUCUGAUUAGAUAGUUGGUGAGGUAACGGCUCACCAAGUCGACGAUCAGUAGCCGGACUGAGAGGUUGAACGGCCACAUUGGGACUGAGACACGGCCCAGACUCCUACGGGAGGCAGCAGUGGGGAAUAUUGCACAAUGGGGGAAACCCUGAUGCAGCGACGCCGCGUGAGGGAAGAAGGUUUUCGGAUUGUAAACCUCUGUCUUCAGGGACGAUAGUGACGGUACCUGAGGAGGAAGCUCCGGCGAACUACGUGCCAGCAGCCGCGGU
rnacentral:rRNA from 1 species